rnacentral:rRNA from 1 species
UACGGGGGGGGCAAGCGUUGUUCGGAAUUACUGGGCGUAAAGGGUUCGUAGGUGGCCCGCCAAGUCAGACGUGAAAUCCCUCAGCUUAACUGGGGAACUGCGUCUGAGACUGGCGGGCUCGAGGGUCGGAGAGGAACGCGGAAUUCCAGGUGUAGCGGUGAAAUGCGUAGAUAUCUGGAGGAACACCGGUGGCGAAGGCGGCGUUCUGGACGACUUCUGACACUGAGGAACGAAAGCCAGGGGAGCAAACGGG